AUUUUAGUACUAUUUGUUCUUAUUCUGUGAAUAAUGUCAUGAACAUUUUGGUAAAGAUUGCAUUAAAUCUGUACACUGCUUUGCAUAGUAUGGACAUGUUAACGGUAUUAAUCUUUCCAAUUCAUGAACAUGGAAUAUUGUUCCAUUCAUUUGGAUCAUCUUCAGUUUCCUUCAUCAAUGUCUUAUAGUUUUCAUACGAUGGGUCUUUUACUCCCUUAGUUAGGUUCUAUUGAUGUUUUGGUGUCUAUUUUAUUUAUUUUCUAUUCAUUAUUACUUCCUUACUUCAGCUGAUUUUGGGAUUUAUUUCUUCUUCUUUUCUAAUUCUUUUAGAUAGUAGGUUAGGUAGUUUAUUUGUGAUUUUUCUUGAUUCUAGAGGUAGGCCUGUAUUGCUCUAAACUUCCUUCUUUGAACUGCUUUUACUUCAUCCCAUAGAUUUUGGAAUGCUUUGUUUCCAUUUUAGUUUGUCUGAAGGUAUUUUCUGAUUCCUCCCUGAUUUGUUCA